AUUGAACGCUGGCGGCAGGCCUAACACAUGCAAGUCGAACGAGUGGCGGAAGGGUGAGUAAUGUCUGGGAAACUGCCUGAUGGAGGGGGAUAACUACUGGAAACGGUAGCUAAUACCGCAUACCAUCAGAUGUGCCCAGAGGGGUAUAGCGAGUUGGGGGGGUAAAGGCUCACGAAGGCGAAGAUCCCUAGCUGGUCUGAGAGGAUGACCAGCCACACUGGGACUGAGACACGGUCCAGACGCCUACGAGAGGCAGCAGUAGGUAAUAGUCGACAAUGGGCGCAAGCCUGAUGCAGCCAUGCCGCGUGUGUGAAGAAGUCCUUCGGGUUGUAAAGCACUUUCAGCGGGGAGGCGUUACCCGCAGAAAAAGCACCGGCUAACUCCGUGCCAGCAGCCGCGGUAAUAC
rnacentral:rRNA from 1 species